UGGGGCAUAGCCAAGCGGUAAGGCAGCGGGUUUUGAUCUCGCCAUACCUAGGUUCGAAUCCUAGUGCCCCAGCCA
rnacentral:tRNA from 1 species